UUCUUAUAUUGAGUAACGAUAAAACGGCAUAUUUAGUUUUAUUGCCGAUUAAAUCAUUGAUUUGAUAAGGGAAUAUCCCGUCAUAGCUGGUUUACCAAUCAGGAGCAGAUCAUUGCAGCUGAAAAAGAAAUACACGGAGAACAAUGUAGAGGUGGAGGGUAAGCCAAAGAGGAAAAUGAUAGGGCAAGUUUAACGUUCGUUCACCCUAUAGCCUUUGUGAUAAAAAAAGCACCGCUCUAUAACUUGUGAUAACAAACAUUUUGUCAACAUUACGAUUGGGAAAACGCGAGUUAUACCGGAACAGCAAACGUACAAUAACAAAAAUACGGAAGAUGAUUUUGAUUCGGGGACAUAGAACUUGUUUGCAAAUAAGCACAUGACCUAAUGGAAUACCCAACAACGGAUAUUUUAAAGUAGCAUCGUGCUAUAGUGGGGCUGCUAGUGACUAUGUGUCUUUAUGCACUUGUUGACGCACAUUGUGUACAUCCGCCGUAUGCCAAAGCAAACAAGACAGCACUUUACAGGAAAAUAUUUCAUGACUAUUACGUGGGUCGAUGGACUUUUAAUAUCAUUCGUGAGUACCGUUCCAAUGCUGAACAUAUCGUUGAACGACGGAAAGAAAGGAAUAAAGGUGGUUAUUUUAGAUUAGGAAAAUACAACAGAUUUCAAAGCCGGUUGUAUGGAGAACCUAAGUGCAGAAGACAGUCUUCGACAAACUCAUCAUUAACUUGUCCAUGGUACGUGGUUGUAGACGUGGACUUGAACAGGGAACCUCAAACAAUGGCUAAAGCAAAAUGCUCCUGCAAUAGAUGCUUGUCUGCUGGUGGCACUGAACAGAGAGGUGGUCGUUGUGCCACAGUGAACACCUAUGUUCCAGUUAUAAAAUGGGAAUGUCCUGAGACGUAUUCAGACACCGAUACGUAUUAUCGUUAUUUCAUACACCUUGAAGAAGUGCCAGUAGGCUGCACGUGCAGAAGUCCAACUAAAGGUAAUAUAUAAUAACCAUGUUCUGCUCAAAUGAGAUCACAGUUUUGACACAAACUGAUGAUAUUCUGUGAGCCAACUGCCAAAGCUACUCAGAUAAGAAGAAAAUAGAGCAAACAGUUCAUUAUAGUUUUAAUACGUAUCCUUGUCAAAAAUGUGUUCACACAGGUAAACAUACAAACCUUUGUAACCUACAAAUGUCUAAAAGGUUUAAUGGGACACUCGAAACUUUUUUAAUAGUUAUAUGAUCUACAUACAUGAUAACAUUUCAUGGAUAUUAUCAUCAGCAGGACUUUACAAUCAGCAUUUAGAUAUCUAGUCAGUAUGAAGAGAUCUCUGUUCCGAAUUGUUUUGUCUCUAUUGACAGAUGUUCGUGUUUUUCAUACAUCUCUAUGUUUAUUUAUUGCUGUUGCAGUUUGUUUAUUUUAUAGUGUUUGUUUUUGUGCGUCUGUAUGUUGAAAUUGUUUUUAAAGUGUUUGCAUAGUCCUUAAAGUAGGAUGUAGAGAAGCUUAUAUCUUUUGUUAUUCAACUUAUCAUUUGACUAAAAAAUAAUAAAUCUUUGAAUGUUCCUUUGCUAUCAAGGUAAUCAGUAGAGAUAAAAUACACCUAACUUUACAUUGCAUAGUGUCAUAAUAAUUUUACAAAGUAGAAGUCAAUGACUAUUUUUUAAUUUCAAUUAGAAUGAAUAACAAAAUAAUCUCUGAUGACUUUUUGAACCGACAUAUUUAGCAAAAGUGUAAACUUUAUUGUUUUUCGUUGAAAGAAUCAAUUUUCACGUGUUAAAACUAUUUGCUGUUUAAUAAUAAUAAUAAUAAUAAUAAUCAUAAUAAUGUUUUAAAUUCAGUCCUUAAUAUGUAACUUAGAGCGUAAAAGAGAUGGUUAUUUGAAGAAUUAACAUAUAGACAUUAUACUGCUUUUUUACAAUACAUUUCAAACAAAGUCGCAACGCAUUUUUUUUCCAAAUGAAAACAGGUAUAGAAGUUUGCUUUGAGUUUGUUAUUACUUCUUUAAAGAUUGUAUUUGAAAUCCAUAACCGCAAGAUUUAUUUUAUUCAUUAGAACCUAUAGAUAACAAUAAUUUACAGUAUUAUUUAACGUUUCUCCUUUUUCAUUUUCAUAAACCGCUCUUUGAAAAAAGGGUAAACAAGCGUUUAAUUCGUAUCAUGCCAGGUUAAAACGUUCUUAAUUUCUUUAGAUAUAGAAAAGAAAACUUCUCUUCCGCAUUGUAAUGUCGGUGACAACCUUGAAAGGUUCGUUCAAUGUAAAAUUCAGAUUAAUGUCAAUAUAUUGUCAAACAUGAUAACGCCUUUAUCGUGAUAAAAUGUAUUAAAUUAAACUUAGCUAUAUUUAAAUGUUCUUCAGAUGUGUUCAAACAUUUUACAAUAAGGAAGUGUGGUAUUUUUCCGCUAUUCGGGUCUAGAUAUACCACUUAGUUGAAUUUGUAGAUAAAAACAUCAAACCAGGUGAAUUCCAUGUCUUAUUUAGUUUAAAUAAGAUUUUAAGUUUUUAAAAAAAUAAGAUGUUAGUAUGUUAUGACAAUCUUUAUUAUAUAUCGCGAACUAUGAGCAGUACUGGUGGCAUAAAAGGGGAAUGAUCAUAGUAAGGCCUAAAAAAAUUCUUUGUUUCCGGUAACAUGCUCGAAAAAAUUAGGGUAGGUAGGUCGGAUUUUUUUUUUUUUUUUUUUUUUUUUUGAGUUUAUUUUUUAUUAAGUGAGUCUUUUCGGAAAUUAGUUUUGUGUCAAAAAAAAAAAAAAUGAAUACAAAUAAGGGGGUUAUGCCUUUAGAGCAUCAGUAAGUUGAUUUCCAACAUCACUGACCAUGUUUAAGGCAUAGAAAAUGCAGUUUUGCAACUUUUUGUUAAAAAGUUGAAAAAAAAUUUCUCCAAGGCCAUGAAAACAUUUCUAGGUCGGGCCAAAAAUUUAGGGUAGGUCGGGAUGCCGGAAACAAACAUUUUUUACGCCUUAGCAUUGUCUGAAGCAACAACAUGUAAAUGUUUUGUGCAGCUUCCAAAGUUUGUAUUAUUAAAUGCAUGUUAUUAUCACUUUAUGUUAGUAUAAAAACUUUUAGGUAAGAAAUAUUAAAUUUGAUUUGGCGGUAUAUUCAUACAAGUCUGAAGUGAUAUUAUUCUCUUUCUAUGUUUGCUAACCUGACACUUAGUGAAAUUCUAGAUAUACGUGCUAGUUUAUUAGUAUUUUGGUAUUCGGACAUAUUGUUUUAAUGGGAUUUAUGUACUUUGUUUUGUUUUAUGAAAUUAUUUAUCAUAAUUUUCAUGUCAUUAGUACCAUCUGUCUUUCAGUAUUUAUUUGCUAAAUUAUUUAGUCGUUGUUUAUGUAAUUUUCUAUAUACAAGGAAUUGUUAUUGCGAUUAUAUUGUCAAUUUGUUUUUGAACAAAAGAAACCUUUAUGAUGUUUUAAAUGGCAGCUUAAA